rfam:Schistosoma margrebowiei strain Zambia genome assembly, scaffold: SMRZ_scaffold0004444
AUCCAGCUGACCAGUCCUAAAUGAGAAGAAACGCGCGUCCUGGAU